rnacentral:SRP_RNA from 1 species
GCUGGGUGUGGUGGCUCACACCUGUAAUCCUGGCACUUUGGGAGGCUGAGGCAGGUGGAUCACCUGAGGUCAGGAGUUCAAGACAAGCCUGACCAACAUGGUGAAAACCAAUCUCUG